rnacentral:rRNA from 1 species
AUUGAACGCUGGCGGAAUGCUUUACACAUGCAAGUCGAGCGGCAGCGCGGCCUUCGGGCUGGCGGCGAGCGGCGAACGGGUGAGUAAUGCAUCGGAACAUGCCCAGUCGUGGGGGAUAACACUUCGAAAGAAGUGCUAAUACCGCAUACGUCCUGAGGGGGAAAGCGGGGGAUCGCAAGACCUCGCGCGAUUGGAGUGGCCGAUGUCAGAUUAGCUAGUUGGUGGGGUAAAGGCCUACCAAGGCGACGAUCUGUAGCUGGUCUGGGAGGAUGAUCAGCCACACUGGGACUGAGACACGGCCCAGACUCCUACGGGAGGCAGCAGUGGGGAAUUUUGGACAAUGGGGGCAACCCUGAUCCAGCCAUUCCGCGUGAGUGAAGAAGGCCUUCGGGUUGUAAAGCUCUUUCGGCAGGAACGAAACGGUGGGCUCUAACAUAGUCCGCUAAUGACGGUACCUGAAGAAGAAGCACCGGCUAACUACGUG